rnacentral:rRNA from 1 species
GUGAGGAAUUUUCCGCAAUGGGCGAAAGCCUGACGGAGCAAUGCCGCGUGAAGGAUGAAGGCCUAUGGGUUGUAAACUUCUUUUCUCAGAAAAGAAUUAUGACGGUAUCUGAGGAAUAAGCAUCGGCUAACUCUGUGCCAGCAGCCGCGGUAAGACAGAGGAUGCAAGCGUUAUCCGGAAUGAUUGGGCGUAAAGCGUCUGUAGGUUGUUUAAAAAGUAUUCUGUCAAAGAUUAGGGCUUAACCCUAGAUAGGCAGAAUAAACUUUUAAGCUAGAGUUUGGUAGAGGCAGAGGGAAUUCCCGGUGGAGCGGUGAAAUGCGGAGAUAUCGGGAGGAACACCAAAGGCGAAGGCACUCUGCUGGGCCAAUACUAACACUGAGAGACGAAAGCGAGGGGAGCAAAUGGGAUUAGAAACCCCAGUAGUCC